AAAAAACACAAUCAUAGGCAAAGUUAUAUAAACGUUGAAAAAAAAAACGUUGAUGUUACGUUAAAAAUGGAAACGGUAAGGAAAGUGGAUAAUAACAUUGUUUUGUAUCGAGGAAAAAACGUGGAUAUGUUAAAUUCCACGUCAAGUGAAGUUGUCAAUGAUGACGGUGUCAAUUUUAUACUAUUUUUUCACUCGGUGUGAUUUCAAAUCAACAUAUGGGUUCAGACAACUUGACACGUGUUGAAAUUUGGGAGGUUCAAAAUAUGGACGCUGAGUUAGGUCCAUGCAACUAUGUUUCCUCAGAUUCUGCAGUACUGUCAAGCUGCGACCCUUUCAGCAUGUGGUUUCUAUCGUUUCUUUGGUUUUCUAAAUUUUAUUUUUGCAUCUAGUAGUUUAUUAAUUUUUCUUUAGUUUUUGUAGUAAACACUUCAUAGUUUAUAAUAGCCAUAGAGCAAAUCAGAACUAUUUAUUUGUUAACCUUACCGGCUAGGCGGCUACAAACUGAAACCAGAAACAUGACAUGAUAGAAACAGGCUACGUAGAUACUUUUCCUCUCAGACAACUAAUUCCACGCUGCAACAAGCUUCCUUCAAGCCUGGAAGAUGCUAUUGAGAACGUGAUAUCGCUACAAAUGCAAAUACAUGCAGAAUUGAAAGACUCGAGCUUUACUUACAUCAUUGUGACACCAACGGCUUUCUUCAAGAGCUUAGGUGGUCAAGUCGAGAUUGCGUGUUCGGAGAUGGUAAGCUGUGCUCUUGUAAACCCACCAGCGAGCAGGAUUUAGCUUCGGUUAUAGCGGAUUGCGUGUUGGAAGAGAACAAGAUCAAUCCAGGGAGGGUGUUAACCCCGUUGGAGCAAGGAGAGAUCAUGUUUAUGAUUCUUGGCAGAGAGCCUAAGUUGGAAAGUUUUAUGAAAAAUGUAGUGUGUACUGAUGAGAUUGUGAGAUUAUAAGAGAAUCUGUGAAUCUGAGUGAUCUGUUGAAUAAAACAACAAUAGAAAAACAUAUUGCAUAUCACAGGUAAUAUUCCUGGAUCAAGAAUAUUUAAAGAGAAUAUUAUACAUAAUCCUGGCUUUACCACACCCAAAUAUAAAUGGUUCGACCAUAUAGGAACCAACAACAAAUAGAAUCAUGAAGAAGACAGAUAAGUGUUUUGCUUUUGUGACCAAUAAUCAUAUUGAUCAACUUUUCUAUGUUUUCUUGCUAUAACCGAUCAUCAAGAAAGUUUUUUUGCAACAAAAAGUUCAUGCUUGCUUUCUGGUAGAUGGCAACAAGUGAAAGAGAUCUUUGGUCAUUGAGGAAGAACAGGAGGUGCGACGGCUCUGGUGUUGUACGAUCUACAAU